rnacentral:lncRNA from 1 species
CUUGAAUCUGCUGCCUCCUUCCUCUUACAAAGUAAUCUUGAUGCUUCCUUUUGACCCAACAAGCCCAUUGUUUUUCUUCAGGAAAGAGGCCCAUUAAUUUCCAAAUGAAUUGAAACCCGGGAACCCCUUGUCAGGUCGGUUGGUCCUUUCGGCUCUCAGAUUCGCUCUCUCUAGCUUGGCUGCUUCGCGCUCGCUCCAUUCUUCUCUCCCCUUCUUGUUCGCAACGCACCUGUCAAUGGCAUCUAGAAAACACUAUCUCUCUAAAGACCCCGAACAACCAGAACCGUCGGGCAAGAAGACAAAUGUGAAUCCCGAAGAUUCUAAAAUACCCAAUGCAGAGAAGAAGCGUCCGGUGCUCAAUCCUGCUGACUGUGACUUAGGUAAACUUCAUGCUCUCUAUCAUUUCCAUUUCCAUUUCCGUUUUUGUUGGACUUGAAACUCCUAGGUUUUCUUUUUUCUUCUCUUUCCUUUUGCCUGAGAAGGCUAGUACAUAGUUAAGAACCCCCGGCGUACUCCGUGAAGGAGAUAUUAUGUCACUCUGC